UUCCUUUCUUAUACUUUUAUUGGUAAAUAUGUAUAUUGUAGAACUGUUAGUGGAGAUGGUGUGGGCUAUCGUGUGGGAUAUUUGCUUAUUGCAGGCGACGUGGCAUAGUGUGUAUUUUAUAUGCUUUAUUUUCUACUUUACUCAGUCGGUCUAUGAUAACUACUGAUUAUAAGUGGACCGUACUCACCCUUACUGCACUCUUUUGGUGCAGAUCCAGGUAUGAGUACGCCGCACGAUAGCUGAUUCAGACGGUAUCUGGAGUAUAUUCGAGGACUAUCAUUGUAUCUUUUAACAUUUGAGAUGUACUUUGUUGGUUCAUAUCCCGUGACACCAGAUUUUGGGAUAUUUCAUGAUAUUGUUAUGUAAUUUGCGUUGUUAUUGUAUUUGUGUGGUUCGACUUUA